CCUGCUGGGCCCUGGGCUCCGAGGUCUUUUCUCUGGGUGGGCACUGACCACUGGGGCUAUGUAACUUCUUGACCAGCCCCUGAACUUCAGCAGGACCAAGAACACCGAUCUCUUCCUUGGAACAUGAACCACAUGCUUGGCUUAUCUUCAUGUCUGGUCUCAGGUGCCUCCUGGGGAAGCACUGGAAACCUUAUACACAGCUUGCUGUCUUCAUCAACAUGACCCUACUAUUCCAGAAAACUUACUCAGGAAGAUAAAUACCAAUACUGUUCAUUCUAAGGACAAGACCCAUCACUCUGCAAUAGAAAGCAUCAAAUGACAGGUUGUUCUGGUGAUAAUUGGGGAAGAUAGCAUCUGUUUGCCACAUACCUGCCCAAGGUUCUGCUGCAUCUUGCCCUGGGGAG